rnacentral:pre_miRNA from 1 species
AUUAGAUGAUGAUGAUGAUGAUGAUGAUGAUGAUGAUGAUGAUGAUGAUUAUCAUUAUUAUUAUUAUUGUCAUCAUCAUCAUCAUCAUCAAUUUCC